UAGGGAAUUUUCGGCAAUGGGGGGAACCCUGACCGAGCAACGCCGCGUGAACGAAGAAGGCCUUCGGGUCGUAAAGUUUUGUUAUUUAGGAUGAAAGAUGCCUAUAGGGAAUGAUAGGCAAGUGACAGUACUAGAUGAGGAAGUCACGGCUAACUACGUGCCAGCAGCCGCGGUAAUACGUAGGUGGCAAGCGUUAUCCGGAAUUAUUGGGCGUAAAGGGAGAGUAGGCGGUUUUAAAGUGCAACGUAAAAGGCUAGUGCUCAACGCUAGUAUGCAUUGCAAACUGAAAGACUAGAGUACAGGAGAGGUUAACGGAAUUCCAUGUGUAGCGGUGAAAUGCGUAGAUAUAUGGAGGAACACCGGUGGCGAAGGCGGUUAACUGGACUGGAACUGACGCUGAGGCUCGAAAGCGUGGGGAGCAAAUAGGAUUAGAUACCCUGGUAGU
rnacentral:rRNA from 1 species